rnacentral:rRNA from 1 species
CAUGUCGAACGGAAACCUUCGCGGUUAUUAGUGGCGAACGGGUGAGUAACACGUAAGCAACCUACCCUAAAGACGAGGAUAACCAUUGGAAACAGUGGCUAAGACUGGAUAGGAAGAUAAAAGGCAUCUUGUAUCUUUUAAAAGACCUAGUUAAUAGGUAUGCUUUAGGAGGGGCUUGCGCCAUAUUAGUUAGUUGGUAGGGUAAUGGCCUACCAAGACGAUGAUGUGUAGCUGGACUGAGAGGUUGAACAGCCACAUUGGGACUGAGACACGGCCCAAACUCCUACGGGAGGCAGCAGUAGGGAAUUUUCGGCAAUGGAGGAAACUCUGACCGAGCAACGCCGCGUGAAUGACGAAGUACUUCGGUAUGUAAAGUUCUUUUAUCGAGGAAGAAAAGCAAAUGGCGAACCAUUUGUUUGCCGGUACUUGAUGAAUAAGCCCCGGCUAAUUAUGUGCCAGCAGCCGCGGUAAGACAUAAGGGGCAAGUGUUAUCCGGAAUUAUUGGGCGUAAAGGGUGCGUAGGCGGUCUAGUAAGUCAGUGGUGUAAUGGCAACGCUUAACGUUGUCCGGCUAUUGAAACUGCUAAACUUGAGUUAGAUAGAGGCGAGUGGAAUUCCAUGUGUAGCGGUAAAAUGCGUAAAUAUAUGGAGGAACACCAGAGGCGUAGGCGGCUCGCUGGGUCUUAACUGACGCUGAGGCACGAAAGCGUGGGGAGCAAACAGGAUUAGAUACCCUGGUAGUCCACGCCGUAAACGAUGAGUACUAAGUGUCGGGUUAAACCGGUACUGAAGUUAACACAUUAAGUACUCCGCCUGAGUAGUACGUACGCAAGUAUGAAACUUAAAGGAAUUGACGGGACUCCGCACAAGCGGUGGAUCAUGUUGUUUAAUUCGAAGAUACCCGAAAAACCUUACCAGGUCUUGACAUGUUUUUGCAAAAUGAUAGUAAUAUCGUGGAGGUUACCAGAAACACAGGUGGUGCAUGGUUGUCGUCAGCUCGUGUCGUGAGAUGUUAGGUUAAGUCCUAAAACGAGCGAAACCCUUAUCGUUAGUUGCCAGCACGUUAUGGUGGGGACUUUAACGAGACUGCCAAUGAUAAAUUGGAGGAAGGUGAGGAUCACGUCAAAUCAGCAUGCCCCUUAUGACCUGGGCUACAAACGUGAUACAAUGGCUGUUACAAAGGGUAGCUGAAACGCAAGUUCUUGGCCAAUCCCCAAAAACAGUCCCAGUCCGGAUUGAAGUCUGCAACUCGACUUCAUGAAGUUGGAAUCGCUAGUAAUCGCGAAUCAGCAUGUCGCGGUGAAUACGUUCUCGGGGUUUGUACACACCGCCCGUCAAACCACGAAAGUUGGCAAUACCCCAAAACGGUAGCCUAACUCGUUUAUUCGAGAGGGCGCCGUCUAAGGUAGGGUCGAUGAUUGGGGUUAAGUCGUAACAAGGUAUCCCUACCGGAAGGUGGGGAUGGAUCACCUCCUU